UCUCAAAAGAAAAGGAAAGUGCGAGGUAGAAACAAGUGUAAGAAAGUUGCAAAAUUAAAAAAUGGUCAAAAGUUGGAGGUAAAAUUCUACAACAACCGUGCCACUAGAAAAAAUCACAAGGUUUUUUCAAGACAUUUGGAUAAAAUUGUGCGCUAUCGCAAUAUUUGUCCGCUUCGAGUUCAUUCGUGGAAGGAAAUUGAGGAAGACGAUAAAAACCACAUGUGGGCAGCGGUGACGGACAAAUUUCAAAAUAAGCAAAUAGAAGCAUAUCGUGAUGAAACUUUAGAACAUAUGAAUGAAUUGUGGAACAAAUGGCGAGGAGAUUUGCAUCGUAAAUUUAUAAAGCCUUGCAAGACCAUACAAGAUGCUCUAAAAAGUCUUCCUCCGGUGUUGAUCGAGAGAAUAGGGAGUGGCUUGUCAAAGAACAUUUUUUUAGUGAAAAAUUUUUGGCGGCAAGUAAAAGAAACUCAGAAAAUAGGGCAAAGUUAUCAAUGCCUCAUCGCACGGGUAGUAGGCCUUUUAAACAAAUUAUUUGGAAAAAGGGAGGAAAAUAUGAUAAACCGCCAAGUUUGGCAACAAUUUUUUAUGAGACUAGAAAGAAAGGUGGACAACUAGAAGGAGAAGAUACUAUUAAGAAAUAUGAUGAAAUCCUUGUGGCGUCGCAAUCAAAUCCAACAUUUUCCAAUAUAGAACUUAUUGAAAAAUGCUUUGGAUCUCAAUGUCGUAAUCAUGUGGUUUGUUUCGGAGGGGGUGUAAAAUCAACUGAUUUGAAACCUUCUUCUUCUUCGAGAGCGGAACUUCAUGCUAAACUUUGUGAGACUCAAAAGGAAAAUGAGUCACUUAAAAGUCGCAUAGAUGGAAUGGAGGUUGAACUUCAAGCAAUUAAGGAAAUGUUACAACAACAAUUCAAUGCUCCUCCACCACCGUCUCGAUCUGAAGAGCAGGAAAUACCAUCUUAGCUUUAUAGCAAAAGAUGUUGAGCAGAGGGGACUUGAAGCUAACAGAUCUACUAGCUAGAUUUCCUAUGUUUUUUUGUUUUUGCUUCGAAACUCAAUGGAACAUAUAUGACAACUUUUUUGUCUUCUUGUUUAGUUGUCAUUUUCGCUUAUUUUGGGGUAUUUACUUUUAAUUUAGUAAACUUUUGGGCAACUACA